AUUCGCCCUUAGAGUUUGAUCCUGGCUCAGGACGAACGCUGGCGGCGUGCUUAACACAUGCAAGUCGAGCGGAGUUCGAAUGAAGUUUCGGCGGAUUUCGAACUUAGCGGCGGACGGGUGAGUAACGCGUGAGCAAUCUGUCCCGGACAGGGGGAUAACACUUGGAAACAGGUGCUAAUACCGCAUAAGACCACGGAGGGGCAUCCCUUUGAGGUAAAAGAAAUUCGGUUCGGGGUGAGCUCGCGUCCCAUUAGCUAGUUGGUGAGGUAACGGCCCACCAAGGCGACGAUCAGUAGCCGACCUGAGAGGGUAAUCGGCCACAUUGGAACUGAGACACGGUCCAAACUCCUACGGGAGGCAGCAGUGGGGAAUAUUGCACAAUGGGCGCAAGCCUGAUGCAGCAACGCCGCGUGAGUGAAGAAGGUCUUCGGAUCGUAAAGCUCUGUCCUAAGGGAAGAAGAAGUGACGGUACCUUAGGAGGAAGCCCCGGCUAACUACGUGCCAGCAGCCGCGGUAAUACGUAGGGGGCGAGCGUUAUCCGGAAUUAUUGGGCGUAAAGAGUACGUAGGUGGUUUUGUAAGCGUGAGGUGAAAGCCUGCAGCUUAACUGCAGCGAGCCUCAUGAACUGCAAGACUUGAGUGCAGGAGGGGUAAGUGGAACUCCAUGUGUAGCGGUGAAAUGCGUAGAUAUAUGGAAGAACACCGGUGGCGAAGGCGACUUACUGGACUGUAACUGACACUGAGGUACGAAAGCGUGGGGAGCAAACAGGAUUAGAUACCCUGGUAGUCCCGACCUUAAACGGUGUACACUCGGGGUGGGGCCAUUUCACCGGUCCCGUCUCUUAGCUAACGCGUUAAGUGUACCGCCUGGGGAGUACGGCCGCAAGGCUAAAACUCAAAGAAAUUGACGGGGGCCCGCACAAGCAGAGGAGCAUGUGGCUUAAUUCGAUGCAACGCGAAGAACCUUACCUGGAUUUGACAUACAGCUGCACGGUCUAUGAAAGUAGACCUCCUUCGAGGGUGCUGUACAGGUGCUGCAUGGCUGUCGUCAGUUCGUGCCGUGAGGUGUUUGGUUAAGUCCACCAACGAACGCAACCCCUUUGAUGUGUUGCCAACGGGUCAAGCCGGGAACUCGCAUCAUACUGCUGGUUUACGCCAGAGGAAGGUGGGGAUGACGUCAAGUCAGCACGGCCCUUACGUCCGGGGCGACACACGUGUUACAAUGGUGAGUACAGAAGGCAGCUACCUGGCGACAGGAUGCAAAUCUUCAAAACUCAUCUCAGUUCGGAUUGGAGUCUGCAACUCGACUCCAUGAAGUUGGAUUCGCUAGUAAUCGCGCAUCAGCCAUGGCGCGGUGAAUACGUUCCCGGGCCUUGUACUCACCGCCCGUCA
rnacentral:rRNA from 1 species